rnacentral:lncRNA from 1 species
GAAAAGGGGAAUUUCGGGAAGGGAAAAAGGGAAUUUUGGGGUAAAAAGUGGAGUUUUGAGGCGAAGGCGGGAAUUCGGGGUCGGGAAUUCGGGAGGUUCCGGGCUUUGGGAAUUCGGGGAUUUCGGGAAUUCCGGGAAAUCAGGAAUUGGGGAAUUCUGGGAUUUCAGGGAAUUCUGGGAUUUCAGGGGUUUGGGAAUUCCGAGAAUCAGGAAUUUGGGAUUUCAGGGAAUUCAGGAUUUUGGGAAUUCCGGGAAAUCAGGAAUUGGGGAAUUUGGGAUUUCAGGGAUUCGGGGAUUUCAGGGGAAUCAGGAAUUGGGGAUUUUGGGAAUUUUGGGAUUUCAGGAUUUUGGGAUUUCAGGAAUUUGGGAAUUCCAGGAUUCAGGAAUUUGGGGUGUCACUGACCAUCGAACCAGUCGAUGGCCGCCUUGGCCGAGGGGGGAUUGGGGAAUCAGGAAUUCAGGAAUUGGGGAUCUCAGGAUUCGGGGAUUUCAGGGAUUCAGGAAUUGGGGAUUUUGGGAUUUCAGGAAUUUGGGAUUUCAGGGAUUCAGGAAUUUUGGGAAUUUCAGGAUUUUGCUGACCAUCGAACCAGUCGAUGGCCGCCUUGGCCGAGGGGGGGUCGGGGAUCUCAGGGAUUCAGGAAUUUGGGAUUUCAGGGAUUCAGGAAUUGGGAAUUUUGGGAUUUCAGGAAUUUGGGAUUUCAGGAAUUCCGGGAUUUUGGGAAUUUGGGGUGUCACUGACCAUCGAACCAGUCGAUGGCCGCCUUGGCCGAGGGGGGGUCGUCGAAGCUGACGGUGGCCUCGCCCUUGAGCUUGCCGGUCUCACGGUCGGUGUAGAGAUUGAUCAUGGGCUGGCCCGUCUUCUUGUUGGUCUGGGGAGAGAGUGACCAACUGACCAACUGACCACUGACCACUGAGUGACCACUGACCCAUCACUGACCCAUCACUGACCCACCCUGAGUGACCCCUGAGUGACCAUCAACCCACCCUGAGUGACCACUGACCCACCCUGACCCCACACCCACACACUGAUCAUGGGCUGGCCCGUCUUCUU